UACGAAGGGGGCUAGCGUUGCUCGGAAUCACUGGGCGUAAAGCGCACGUAGGUGGGUCGCUAAGUCGGGGGUGAAAUCCUGGAGCUCAACUCCAGAACUGCCUUCGAUACUGGCGAUCUUUGAGUCCGGGAGAGGUGGGUGGAACUGCGAGUGUAGAGGUGAAAUUCGUAGAUAUUCGCAAGAACACCAGUGGCGAAGGCGGCUCACUGGCCCGGUACUGACGACUGAGGUGCGAAAGCGUGGGGAAGCAACAGGGAU
rnacentral:rRNA from 1 species